rnacentral:rRNA from 1 species
GGACUACCCGGGUAUCUAAUCCCGUUCGCUCCCCUGGCUUUCGCACCUCAGCGUCAGGUGACUCGCCAGGACACUGCCUUCGCCUUCGGUGUUCCUCCGGAUCUCUACGCAUUUCACCACUCCACCCGGAAUUCCGUGUCCCUCUCGAGCCCUCAAGUCACGCCGUCUUUCGUAUGCUCGGAGAGUGAAGCCCUCCGCUGUCACACAAAACGCGCCUGACCGCCUGCAUGCCCUUUACGCCCAGUAACUCCGGACAACGCUCGCCCCCUACGUAUUACCGCGGCGGCUGGCAC